GUCCUUUAGAUUUUUAUUUAAGGUCGGGCCUGCUCUAUGAUUAAUUAUUAAAUGGCUGCAGUAUUUUAACUGUACUAAGGUAGCAUAAUCAAUUGUCUUUUAAUUGAAGGCUAGAAUGAAUGGUUUGAUGAAAUAUAAACUUUUUUAUUUAAAUUAUUUGAAUUUAUUUUUUUAGUUAAAAAACUAAAAUAUCUAUAUAAGACGAGAAGACCCUAUAGAACUUUAUUUUUUUUAUUUAAUUAUAUUUUUUUUAUUAAUAUAUUUAUUUAUUUAAGAAUUAUGUUGGGGUGACAUUAAGAUUUUUUUAACUUUUAAUUAUUUUUUUUAUUAAUUAUUAUAAUUUUGAUCCAGUAUUAUUGAUUAUAAGUUUAAGUUACCUUAGGGAUAACAGCGUUAUUUAUUCGGAGAGUUCAAAUCGAUGAAUGAGUUUGCGA
rnacentral:rRNA from 1 species